CAAAUACUCCCUCCGUCCGGAAAUACUUGUCAUCAAAAUGGAUAAAAAGAGAUGUAUCUAAAACAUUUAGAUACAUCUCUUUUUAUCCAUUUUGAUGACAAGUAUUUUCGGACGGAGGGAGUAUUUA
rnacentral:pre_miRNA from 1 species